UAACACGUGGAUAACCUACCUAUAAGACUGGGAUAACUUCGGGAAACCGGAGCUAAUACCGGAUAGCAUGUUGAACCGCAUGGUUCAAAAGUGAAAGACGGUCUUGCUGUCACUUGUAGAUGGAUCCGCGCUGCAUUAGCUAGUUGGUAAGGUAACGGCUUACAAGGCAACGAUGCAUAGCCGACCUGAGAGGGUGAUCGGCCACACUGGAACUGAGACACGGUCCAG
rnacentral:rRNA from 1 species